rnacentral:rRNA from 1 species
UAUGUGAUCGUCUCUCGCAUAUCAAUAAGCGGAGGAAAAGAAACUAACAAGGAUUCCCCUAGUAACGGCGAGUGAAGCGGGAAGAGCUCAAAUUUGAAAUCUUAAAGGGUUUCCCUUUACGAAUUGUAGUUUAAAGAAGUGUUUUCUGUUGAGAUUUUGGUAAAAGUUCUUUGGAAUAGGACAUCAUAGAGGGUGAGAAUCCCGUAUUUGACCUUUACUUUCAACUUUGUGAUACACUUUCAAAGAGUCGGAUUGUUUGGGAAUGCAGUCCAAAAUGGGUGGUAAAUUUCAUCUAAAGCUAAAUAUUGGCGAGAGACCGAUAGCGAACAAGUACCGUGAGGGAAAGAUGAAAAGAACUUUGAAAAGAGAGUUAAACAGUACGUGAAACUGUCAAAAGGGAAGCGUUUGACACCAGUGUUGUUUUUCUGAAAAUCAAUUAAAGAACUGUUUAUGCUAAGUUGUUUAGACUUUAUCAGCUAACUGUUUAGUUUUGAGCUUUUCUUUAAUGCACUUUUCAGUUAACAAGUCAACAUCAAUUUCUUUUGCUGUAAAAAAGCUUGAGGAAGGUGGCUUGAGAUUCGUCUUAAGUGUUUAUAGCCUCUUGCCUAUGCAGUCGGAGAGAUUGAGGUCUGCAGCGUAGAUCCUUCGGGGCUAAAUGCAUUUGUGCUAAGUUAUAGCAUUUUAUAGACAACUUGUUGACUAUGAUUUGUCUUGUAGCUUACUCGCUUAUGUUAUUUUACCUACGCUUAGGAUGUUGAGUCAUCACACAUCUCU